rnacentral:rRNA from 1 species
AAUAGAUACCCCGGUAGUCCACGCCGUAAACGAUGAGUGCUAAGUGUUAGAGGGUUUCCGCCCUUUAGUGCUGCAGCUAACGCAUUAAGCACUCCGCCUGGGGAGUACGGUCGCAAGACUGAAACUCAAAGGAAUUGACGGGGGCCCGCACAAGCGGUGGAGCAUGUGGUUUAAUUCGAAGCAACGCGAAGAACCUUACCAGGUCUUGACAUCCUCUGACAACUCUAGAGAUAGAGCGUUCCCCUCCGGGGGACAGAGUGACAGGUGGUGCAUGGUUGUCGUCAGCUCGUGUCGUGAGAUGUUGGGUUAAGUCCCGCAACGAGCGCAACCCUUGACCUUAGUUGCCAGCAUUUAGUUGGGCACUCUAAGGUGACUGCCGGUGACAAACCGGAGGAAGGUGGGGAUGACGUCAAAUCAUCAUGCCCCUUAUGACCUGGGCUACACACGUGCUACAAUGGAUGGUACAAAGGGCUGCAAGACCGCGAGGUCAAGCCAAUCCCAUAAAAACCAUUCUCAGUUCGGAUUGUAGG